rnacentral:rRNA from 1 species
UACGUAGGGGGCAAGCGUUGUCCGGAAUCAUUGGGCGUAAAGCGCGUGUAGGCGGUCCGGUAAGUCCGCUGUGAAAGUCGGGGGCUCAACCCUCGGAUGCCGGUGGAUACUGUCGGGCUUGAGUACGGAAGAGGCGAGUGGAAUUCCUGGUGUAGCGGUGAAAUGCGCAGAUAUCAGAAGGAACACCAAUUGCGAAGGCAGCUCGCUGGGACGUUACUGACGCUGAGACGCGAAAGCGUGGGGAGCAAACAGG